AAUAUUGGGCAAUGGGCGGAAGCCCGACCCAGCCACGCCGCGUGAGUGAUGAAGGCCCUCGGGUCGUAAAGCCCUGUGGGGAGGGAAGAAAUAUCCGGGUUCGAUUAGGGCCUGGACUCGACGGUUCCUCCUUAACAAGCAUCCGCUAACUCUGUGCCAGCAGCCGCGGUAAAACAGAGGGUGCAAACGUUACUCGGAAUUACUGGGCGUAAAGGGCGCGUAGGCGGAUUUAGAAGUCGGGUGUGAAAUCCCUGGGCUCAACCUAGGAACUGCAUUCGAAACUCCAAGUCUAGAGUGACGGAGAGGAAAGCGGAAUUCCCGGUGUAGAGGUGAAAUUCGUAGAUAUCGGGAGGAACACCAGAGGCGAAGGCGGCUUUCUGGACGUCUACUGACGCUGAGGCGCGAAAGCGUGGGGAGCAAACAG
rnacentral:rRNA from 1 species